rnacentral:lncRNA from 1 species
AGAGGCAGCCUGGGCUGACGUGCAGCUUUGCCCUCCUCUCCUCUCCCCAACCUGGGACGCACAUGUGAGGCUCGAAGCGCCACAGCCACGGGGUCAAGUGCCACAGGCCAGAGAUGGUGGAGGGAACAACCCACAGACCCGGAGGCCUGGGGGACCCUGGAUUCGCGGCACCACCGCGGGACAGUCGGCCUCGGCGCUCAUCGGCCCGGAGGAGAGCCGUCUCUGGCUCAGCCAGACCGUGUCACCAGGGGCCCUGUCGCAUGUGGUCCACAAGAAGCCUCGGGAGCAAGCAGGGCCCGAGAAGAGAGACGGGUGUGGACAGAUACCGUGGGGACCUCGCAGUUAAGGGGGAGGAGGCUCAGCUUGCAGGGGAAACUGAGGUAAAAUGUGUUCCUGGGCUCUGGGGACCGAGACCUCAACAUCUUUGGAAGGCACGAGAAAUAAGACGUGGGAAGAUGUGUUAUAUUUGAAUGGAUCCUUCAAGGCUCUGCGAGAGUUUUAUGCAGGAAAGCCUUGUGCAAAAAGGAAAAGGGAUUCACACGAAGAACGUGCUUGCUCAAGGCCUGGAGACAAGAAAGCAUAGCUACUGUUUUCCUUUUUUGAUGACCUGCUUUUCUUUGUCUUUGGAAAGACCCAACCUCUGCCCCAAUGCCGCUAGGGUUCAGAGGUUUACUACCCUUCACUGCAGUUCACUUCUUCCUACGAUGGCUCUGAACAGAGAAGAACCUGCCUUAAAUUGAACCAGGCUGUUCUCUUCAUCACUGGACACCUUAAUAGACCUCACAGUCCCCAGAAGUCGCUUCAGUUGGACCAGAAAGGGGGACUGGGCAAUGGAAGGGUCAUGGCACACAGGGGUCUGAUACAUCCGGAAGGUUCUCUGAGGUUCAUCCUUGGGCAGACUGUUCCUCUUAAAAGCCUCAGAACAGGUCACCAGGCCAAUAACUUACUAGAACAAUACCAUUCCCAAAGCUGCUGGCCUCCUCUACUCCUGUGCUACAAGUCAACUGAAAAGAACUUGAGCUGAGGCUGAAUUUGGACUUGAGCUUCAAGAGAUUAAAAACUCAGAAAUGCUGACAUUUUCUGUUUCUCUUGAUGUCAUUGCGAACAGUAAAUUGCUAGAGGUUUGGAGUCAGGGAGGCCCACUGCCCUCUCCCUGAGAUAAGUCAGGGUUCUGACAGCCUCAGUCCAGGGAAUCACUGCUGUGGCCAUGGGCAAGGGUGGCCAGGAACUCUGUGGGCUGCGGAGGGAGGACAGUGCCUGGACAGGUCCCUGAUCUCUCUGCAUCCUCUGUUGACAUCCUCUGCCCCUGCGUCUCCUCUAUGCCAGGCAAUUGCUCCCCGUGAUGCUCUGGUGUGUAAGGCAAUGGAGCGGAUACCACCCUGUCCUCAGUGCUGAGCAGGGCUUGAGUUUACAGCAGCAUUUUUAUAUCCUUUACCUUCUUCAACUCUUACAACAACCUGGUGAGGGAAACGGAGUAAGUGGCAGGGCUGAGACCAACUCUCCUCUGUUCCCGCCACACGUGGACACUACCCAUGAGCUUUGGACCACGACUGCUGGGUCAGGGCUGGGCCUGCAAAAACCGUCAAUGAUGGUCUGCACCCAAGAUUUCCAGCUGCAUUAGAGACUCUUAACUCUAGGGAAAAAACUGAGGGUUGCUGGUGAGGGUGGGGAAUAGGGUAAUCGGGUAAUGGGCCCUGGGGUGGGGGGAGCACCUGAUAUAACGAGCACUGGGUGUUAUAUGCAACUGACAGAUCACUAAAUUCUACCCCUGAAAUUAUUAAUACACUAUAUGUUAACUAAAUUGAAUAGAAAUUAAAAAAAAAAAGAUUUCCAGCUCCUUUCUCUUGUUUCCUCCCCCCUCUACCAUCUCUCUUCUGUAUCUGUAUUCCUCUCCUUUUCUUCUUCUCACCAGCCAAGAACCCCACUAAUGAUGCUCAUUUCUUGGGGGGCCCUGCUAGGCUGGAAGGGACUAGAACCCCUGGACCAGGAUGCCUCCAACCACGGAUGUGAGUAUCCUCCUGGUGCCUGUGUCCCCCAGUCAACAGGUCCCAGGUUGGGCAGUCGAGUCAUCCAUACCAGAAGCAGCAGUGGGGGCGGGAUCUUGGAAAGCUCCAGGCCAGAAGCCAGAGGUCUUCACAUGACUCUGCCAGUCAUAACCUUAGAUAUAUUACUGCCCCACCCUGGACCUCAGUUUCCUCAUCAGUAAAGUAGGACAAUAAUACCCACCUCCCAAGGCAGUUUUAAGGGCUAGAAAAAUUGACUUCAUGGUGCUGGGCAUUUAUUAGAUUUUUAAUAAAGCUUGGUUGAACGUGGCAGCAGCUGGAGUACAGAAGCCUCCUAGGGCUGUACUUGGAAAUAUCAAUAUCUAUGUUGAGUAAUAAGAGCCAGGAAGCAGCAACAGAGAGGUAGAAAGGGAUAGAGGAAGGGUGUCACGGGGCAGAGCCUGCUCAUUGUUUUUCUCCUAGGCAGCUCAGGCUCCCGGGACUCUGGAUCCAGCCACUGGAUGCAAUUAAUGCUUGUCUUUUUAUGAUGUUGAUGAGAUCAUCUUGUAACAUUCCAAAUGCUUAAUGAGGUGUGUGCAACUACUGGACACUGAGUCCUGGAAUCUCCCUGCCAUCGGCACACCCUGGUAGUAAUGGUGAUUUUUAAAAGCUGGGAAGCCCAGAGUGACUUCUCCCCAAACAGACUUGGCCAGUCCCAAUGUCAGUAGAGAUUCAGAGCCCAACCUGCAGUGGUUCCAGAAAGAGAAGCCAAUUACAAUUCUCAGUGGUGGGGGCAGGGGUGGGGGAUGGGGUGGGGGGACCCCAAAGUAUGGGAGGAAUCCAGGACCCAAAACAAGGAAAACUCAAUUUUUCCCGGGGGCAAAGAAACUCCAGAGCUUGAAACUUGUAAACUAGAAAUGGAUAGAUUUUCAGUUAAACAUGCAAAUUGGUCAGAGCCAGCUGUCAUCUGUCCCUCCUAGGAUCUCACUUAGAUGGCAGUAAAGGAAUGGAAAUGGUAUAAACCCACAACAUCAUAGGGAAUGGGAGAGGAGUAUCAGUGGAUUGGACCCCUCAGCACAUUUACUGAACUAAACAGUUGAAUGUAGGUGGGGAGGAAGAGGAGGAAGUCACAGCCAAUGUGAGCAGAGAGAGCUCAUUUUCCUAACAGGGCCGCAUGGAGGCCUGAAGAUUCAUUACACCAGGUACAGUGCAGGACAGAUCACAUAAGCUGUGGAAGUAAUAACCAGGAAGUUUUUUGAAAGUCAAUAUGUGGAAUAGUUGCCUCUACAUCCAUCCCUAGGAAAACAAACAAAAAAUUUAUUUAAAGAAAUUAUAAGGUCCUCGAGAAAACAACCCUUUACAAACAUUCUUGCUUAUAGAGAUAGAUUCCUAGUAUAAUACUCAGCUUGCUACCCCAGAGCCCUAAAAUCAAGCUUGCCAGCCAACAACUCUUGCCCACAUGUACAAAGUUCUCAAAGUCAGCUACCCUAUUGCCUCGUUUAAAAAUAUGAACAGGCAAACAAGAAUUUAAGGCAAGCAAGCAACAAACAACAGCAAUGACAAAAAAAUCCCAGAGAAAACAUAUAGUUCGGAAAAUAAAAGGGAAACUUAAAAACUGCAAAAUUUAAACUGUAAUAUCCUAAGAAAAAUACAAAGAGACUGCAUCCAUAAAACAAAAAUAAGAACCUAGAAAAAGGAACAAUUAAAGAAAAGAAUCACAGAAAUUAUAAAUACAGUUGCAGAAAUUAUAAUUUUAAUUCAACUGUUAGAAGAUAGAGUUGAGGGAUGCUUGGGUGGCUCAGCAGUUGAGCAUCUGCCUUUGGCCCAGGGCGUGAUCCCGGGGUCCCAGGAUCGAGUCCCACAUCGGGCUCCCUGCAUGGAGCCUGCUUCUCCCUCUGCCUGUGUCUCUGCCUCUCUCUAUGUGUCUCUCAUGAAUGGAUAAAUAAAAUCUUAAAAAAAAAAAAGAUAAAGUUGAGAAGUCUCCAGAAAGUACAAGAGAGAGAUUAAAAAGAAAAAAAGAAGGUAAGAAAGAUUAAAAUAGAGAACAAAAAUUAUAAAGGAAAUAGUAGAAAAGAAUUUCACAAAACUUAAGGACACCAGUCUCCUGAGGACCCUGGAUGUUUCCAACAGUAUGAAUGAAAUAAAGAGCAACACAUGCUGCAUCAUAUUGAAACCAGAACAUAAAGGAUAUAGAGAAGAUCAUGAAGUCUUCUAAAGAAACAACGAGCAACUCUAAAUAAUAACAAAUUCCCAUUAACAACCUUGGUGCAAGACAAUUUGAAUUCAGAAUUCUAUUCCCAGCUAAACUAGCAAUGAAUGAAUACUAAAGAAAUUUUUAGGCCAAGGACUUGGAAAAGAGGAGAGUCUGUAUAUCCUCUUUCUUAAGAAGUUAUAAAAUGAACUAAAAUGAACCUACAGAUUGGGAGAAGAUCUUUGCAAAUGACAUAUGAGAUAAAGGGCUAGUAUCCAAGAUCUAUAAUGAAUUGAUCAGUGCUCGCUUCAGCAGCACAUACACUUAAAAGAGAAUUUAUUAGACUCAACACCCAAAAAACAAUCCAGUCCAGAAAUGGGCAGAGACAUGAACAGAAAUUUCUCCAAAGAAGGUAUGCAAAUGGCCAUGAAAAAAUGCUCCAUAUCACUUGCCAUUCAGGGAAAUACAAAUCAAAACCACCAUGAGAUCCCACCUCACACCAGUGAGAAUGGCUAAAAUUAACAAUUCAGGAAACAAAUGUUGGAGAGGAUGUGGAGAAAGGGCAACCCUCUUGCACUGUUGGGGGGGAAUGCAAGCUGGUACAGCCACCCUGGAGAACAGUGUGGAGGUUCCUCAAGAA